GGGGAACAUUGCUUUCAUUAAAAUUUGGAGCAAAAUUACUGGUAGAAAAGUUAUGCAUAGAAAAAACGGUAGUAAUUUAUUUUUAGCUAAUACACUAUUUUAGCUGUACCUAUAUUUCUUACAUUUUCUUGUUUUUUUUUUGUUUUCAUAUUUAUUAAGAAAACUCCAGGGAAAAUGGAAAAACGACCUUUAAACCAUCUCCCCAAUGAAAUUUCCUUUCAGAAACAUUGCUAUCACUAAAAGUCUGAGC